rnacentral:rRNA from 1 species
AGCGAACGCUGGCGGCAGGCCUAACACAUGCAAGUCGAACGAAGUCUUCGGACUUAGUGGCGGACGGGUGAGUAACACGUGGGAACGUGCCUUUAGGUUCGGAAUAACUCAGGGAACUUGUGCUAAUACCGAAUGUGCCCUUCGGGGGAAAGAUUUAUCGCCUUUAGAGCGGCCCGCGUCUGAUUAGCUAGUUGGUGAGGUAAAGGCUCACCAAGGCGACGAUCAGUAGCUGGUCUGAGAGGAUGAUCAGCCACAUUGGGACUGAGACACGGCCCAAACUCCUACGGGCGGCAGCAGUGGGGAAUCUUGCGCAAUGGGCGAAAGCCUGACGCAGCCAUGCCGCGUGAAUGAUGAAGGUCUUAGGAUUGUAAAAUUCUUUCACCGGGGACGAUAAUGACGGUACCCGGAGAAGAAGCCCCGGCUAACUUCGUGCCAGCCGCCGCGGUAAGAC